GACGAACGCUGGCGGCGUGCUUAACGCAUGCAAGUCGAACGGAAAGGCCCUGCUUGCAGGGUACUCGAGUGGCGAACGGGUGAGUAACACGUGGGUGAUCUGCCCUGCACUUCGGGAUAAGCCUGGGAAACUGGGUCUAAUACCGGAUAGGAGCCAUUUUUAGUGUGAUGGUUGGAAAGUUUUUUCGGUGUAGGAUGAGCUCGCGGCCUAUCAGCUUGUUGGUGGGGUAAUGGCCUACCAAGGCGGCGACGGGUAGCCGGCCUGAGAGGGUGGACGGCCACACUGGGGCUGAGAGACGGCCCAGACUCCUACGGGGGGGAACAGGGGGGAAUAUUGCACAAUGGGCGCAAGCCUGAUGCAGCGACGCCGCGGGGGGGAUGACGGCCUUCGGGUUGUAAACUCCUUUCGCUAGGGACGAAGCUUUUUGUGACGGUACCUAGAUAAGAAGCACCGGCUAACUACGUG
rnacentral:rRNA from 1 species